rnacentral:rRNA from 1 species
UACGUAGGGAGCAAGCGUUGUCCGGAAUCAUUGGGCGUAAAGCGCGCGUAGGUGGCUUCGUAAGUCCGUUGUGAAAGUCAAAGGCUCAACCUUUGAAAGCCGAUGGAUACUGUGGAGCUAGAGUACGGAAGAGGCGAGUGGAAUUCCUGGUGUAGCGGUGGAAUGCGCAGAUAUCAGGAGGAACACCAAUGGCGAAGGCAGAUCUCUGGGCCGUAACUGACGCUGAGGAGCGAAAGCAUGGGGAGCGAACAGGG